AGAGUUUGAUCAUGGCUCAGAAUGAACGCUGGCGGCGUGCCUAACACAUGCAAGUCGAGCGAGAAAGUUCCUUCGGGAAUGAGUACAGCGGCGAACGGGUUAAUAACGCGUGAGAAUCUGCCCUCUAGUGAGGAAUACCUUUGAGAAAUCGAAGAUAAUACCGCAUACGUCCUUAUAGAAAUAUAAGGAGAAAGGUGGCCUCUUUGCUAUCGCUAGGGGAUGAGCUUGCGUACUAUCAGCUAGUUGGUAGGGUAAUGGCCUACCAAGGCAAUGACGGUUAGCCGGCCUGAGAGGGUGAUCGGCAACACUGGAACUUAGACACGGUCCAGACUCCUACGGGAGGCAGCAGUGGGGAAUAUUGCACAAUGGGCGAAAGCCUGAUGCAGCGACGCCGCGUGAAGGAUGAAGGCCUACGGGUUGUAAACUUCUGUUAAGUGGGAAGAAAUGCUUGUUUCUAAUAAAAACAAGAGAUGACUGUACCAUUAGAGAAAGCACCGGCUAAACUCGUGCCAGCAGCCGCGGUAAUACGAGUGGUGCAAGCGUUAUUCGGAAUCAUUGGGCGUAAAGGGUGUGUAGGUGACAAAUUAAGUCUGUUGUUAAAUUUCCCGGCCUAACCGGGACAAUGCGGUGGAAACUGAUUUGAUAGAGGUUGGAAGAGAGAAGUGGAAUUCUUGGAGUAGCGGUAAAAUGCGUAGAUAUCAAGAGGAACACCGAUGGCGAAGGCAGCUUCUUGGUCCAUACCUGACACUGAGACACGAAAGCGUGGGGAGCAAACAGGAUUAGAUACCCUGGUAGUCCACGCCGUAAACGAUGAUCACUUGAUGUUGGUUCCGCUUUGCGGAAUCAGUGUCGUAGCUAACGCGUUAAGUGAUCCGCCUGGGGAAUACGGUCGCAGACUAAAACUCAAAAGAAUUGACGGGGCCCGCACAAGCGGUGGAACAUGUGGUUUAAUUCGACACUACGCNNNGAACUUACCUGGGCUUGACAUGUACCUGACAGUCGUAGAAANACGAUCUUNUNNNUUCNNCUAGACUAGUACAC
rnacentral:rRNA from 1 species